GACGAACGCUGGCGGCGUGCUUAACACAUGCAAGUCGAACGGAAAGGCCCUGCUUUUGUGGGGUGCUCGAGUGGCGAACGGGUGAGUAACACGUGAGUAACCUGCCCUUGACUUUGGGAUAACUUCAGGAAACUGGGGCUAAUACCGGAUAGGAGCUCCUGCUGCAUGGUGGGGGUUGGAAAGUUUCGGCGGUUGGGGAUGGACUCGCGGCUUAUCAGCUUGUUGGUGGGGUAGUGGCUUACCAAGGCUUUGGCGGGUAGCCGGCCUGAGAGGGUGACCGGCCACAUUGGGACUGAGAUACGGCCCAGACUCCUACGGGAGGCAGCAGUGGGGAAUAUUGCACAAUGGGCGGAAGCCUGAUGCAGCAACGCCGCGUGCGGGAUGACGGCCUUCGGGUUGUAAACUGCUUUCGCCUGUGACGAAGCGUGAGUGACGGUAAUGGGUAAAGAAGCACCGGCUAACUACGUG
rnacentral:rRNA from 1 species